AGCGUGUCUGGAUGAAGGCAACAAUAGCAGGAGUUGAGCUGGGAGAGAAAAAUAGGGGCUACAUCACAUAGGUCAGGAAGAGGAGCUUGGAUUUGAUCCCAUAUGCACGGGAAGCCGCUUGAUGCUGGAGGUGAAGAUGGGCAGAAAAAUGAACCAUCAAAAAAGAAGAAGGAGGAUCAAUGCAUGACUCAUGAAUCAGUCUUGCUUUACUGAAAAGUUUCAGAAAACUCAAGAUUUUCUUCAUGCACUCAAUUUGUGGUAAUACAACCUCAAGCAAAUCGUAUAUUUAUCUGAUAUGUGCAUGCUGGAAACUUUCCGUCUCAUACUUUCCAGAAUCUCAGGACUCACCCAGCACAAGAGGGGGCUGGAAUUUGGAAAACAUAAGAUUGAUUUUAAACCUAAAGACUCAGUGAAGAUUUCUGUAUCUGAAUCUCUCUGCCUACCUAUUAAAUGUUGUUCCCAGGGAGAUCAGCUCCAACUGGAACCAGAGUGAAGCUUCUAUUCCCCUAUCCAUGGACAACACCUUCACCCACCUAGGCAUCUAGACAUCUAGACACAGACCUAUGUCCCACCUAGAGAUCUAGGCACUGAGACAUCUAGAUACCUAGAUAUGUCUAGACAUCUUCCCAGCAAAAAAUCCCAAUCCAACUCGCUCCUGGUCAUUCCUACUUGGAUGUCUCACAGACACUUCAAAAUCAAUGUUGUAAACGAAAUUAAUCCUCUAUCUCCUGACCCUCAAUGGCCCUCCCUCAUCAUUUGUGUCUUGCAGAAUGACCCCACCAUUCACCAGUUUUUCCAGCUGAAACCCAGGAGGCCACAACAGGAUUUGAGCGGCCUAUAGAGAUCCAAAUGCUACUGACAGCAGCACUGAGGGCCCACUCAA
rnacentral:lncRNA from 1 species